GACGAACGCUGGCGGCGUGCUUAACACAUGCAAGUCGAACGGAAAGGCCCUGCUUUUGUGGGGUGCUCGAGUGGCGAACGGGUGAGUAACACGUGAGUAACCUGCCCUUGACUUUGGGAUAACUUCAGGAAACUGGGCUAAUACCGGAUAGGAGCUCCUGCUGCAUGGUGGGGGUUGGAAAGUUUCGGCGGUUGGGGAUGGACUCGCGGCUUACCAGCUUGUUGGUGGGGUAGUGGCUUACCAAGGCUUUGACGGGUAGCCGGCCUGAGAGGGUGACCGGCCACAUUGGGACUGAGAUACGGCCCAGACUCCUACGGGAGGCAGCAGUGGGGAAUAUUGCACAAUGGGCGGAAGCCUGAUGCAGCAACGCCGCGUGCGGGAUGACGGCCUUCGGGUUGUAAACCGCUUUCGCCUGUGACGAAGCGUGAGUGACGGUAAUGGGUAAAGAAGCACCGGCUAACUACGUG
rnacentral:rRNA from 1 species